GUCUUCUCUUCCAGGUGUAUGUCUUCUCUCUCAGAGUGGUAUGUCUUCUAUAUAGGUGUAUGUCAGUCUCUCGGCGGUAUGUCUUCUCCAUCCAGGUGUGUGUAUGUCUCUCUCUUUCAGGGUAUGUCUUCUCUCUCAGGUGUAUGUCUUCUCUCUCAGGUGUAUGUCUUCUUCUCAGUGUCUCUACAGGGUAUGUCCUCUCUUCAGGUUCGUAUGUCUUCUCUCAGGUGUAUGUCCUCUCUCAGGUGUAUGUCUUCUCUCUCAGGUGUAUGUCUUCUCUCUCAGGUGUAUGUCUUUCCUCUCAGGUGUGUGGAUGUGUGUCUUCUUCUCUCGGGUGUAUGUCUUCUUCCCGGUGGUGUAUGUCCUCUCUCCCAGGUGUGUGUAUGUCUU
rnacentral:lncRNA from 1 species